UUAAUUGAAGCUAAAUAGAGGCAUCUUAUUGUUAAUAAGAAAAAUGAUAAACAAUCCAAUUAAA
rnacentral:tRNA from 1 species